ensembl:lncRNA
AUGAUGCUCCCAUUUAGAGAACAAAGGAGGUUAAAGCAGGCGAUGCUUCAGGGAGACCUUGACAAGUCGCUACCUGAGCUCUGUCUUCUUGUCCAAACAUGGUCGCUUCCAUUCGCUCCCAUUGAGAAAAGCAAGGAUGCUGUGAUAUGAUUCAAAGCUCAUGGAGAAAGUUACCUCGACAAACUGAAGCUGAGAUCACUAUUUCCCCGGCCAAGAUAGAAUGUUUAUGUUUAGCAGGAAGUGUUUUUUUCGGUCCACCCAACUGAGUUAUUGCUAUUUUUGUGAAAAUAUUUUUCAUGACUGAAACAACUAAAUGCAAUUACCUGCAGUGCAGCGUUGGAAAUAGUUUGCAUAUUGUCUCAUGUAACCGUUGCACGUUGGGGGUGUGUUUAAUUCCACAGGGCUGAGCCAGAUAUGCUGAACUUGGCAGCCUUGAAUACAGUGUUUUUCGAUUUUCCCUUUACAUUGCACUUUUGUUCAGAGAUGUUUGGAGUUUUUUUGUGAGUUUAAAAGCAGUCAUAAGACACAUGUUUUUCUUUGAUUGGAUGAAUCUUCUAUUUGAGGAGAGUUUCUCCUCAGUCCGGAGUUACGCUGAAUUUAUAAUAACAACUUCUCAGUUGUGUAAGGCUUUUUAAAUCACUUGUCACUAGCGUUUCAGAGAAAGAGGCACCUCUGUUUUUGUAUAAAGUUUACACCCCCACCAGCACUUUGCAGUAUAUACAAUUAGAUCUGAAUCCUCGCUUGAAAUUACCUACUUCCCUUUCUUUACGUGGGUGUGUGGUGAUUGAUACCAAGAAGUAAGACAAAAUAUGCAGCAGCAAAAUAUGAGUAAAACCAACGUUCUCUGUGUUCACGGUGAUGAAUUAGCCUCUUUUAUUGGAGGUGGAAUGCUUGACAGCCGCAAAUAGCUUCAUCUGAAGGAGGAAUACACGCUUAUAAAGAACUGUAUGCUACAGUAUUUCCAACCAUGCUGAUUGUGUCCAAAAUCCACUGCGGCGUUAUCGUCAAUGCAAAAGCAGGCAAACCCUUUGUUGUUCUCUUGUUCCUCAUGUUUUCACUUGAUUGCAUUCUGACUUCUGCAAGCUGAAUAAAGUCGGAUGUUAUUUGGUUAAUUUACUGAGAGGAGGUGGGUCUGUUGCUGCUGCUGCUGCUAAUCACUCAGCUGUCACAACGAAGCACAGCAACAGAACAAAUGGACUUAAAGGCGGCAGCAUUUGUUUAGAAAAGCUCAGCCCAUAAAUACACGACUGGGAAGCAAAGACUGCGAUGUACUAUUCAGAAUAGAGCUUCUAAAGCUUGACCCGCAGUUCAGUUAUGUAGCCGUUCACACAAUGAGGUGAUUCGCCAGUCACACACGGCUCGCCACUUAGCGUUUCAUCUAAUUUCCUUUCCUUCAUCUGAAGAUGAAUCUAAAACCACUUUGAGAAAACAUCUUUCCUUCACCUUCACCCCGAUCAUGCCUGGCAUACCUGAAUGUUAUCUCAGUUGCAGAUGCAGAUUACAUUAUGCUCAGCAAAUAAGCUCCUGACUGUUGGUUAUUUUAUAUUCCUUAUCUA